AGCUUGCUUCUUUGCUGACGAGUGGCGGACGGGUGAGUAAUGUCUGGGAAACUGCCUGAUGGAGGGGGAUAACUACUGGAAACGGUAGCUAAUACCGCAUAACGUCGCAAGACCAAAGAGGGGGACCUUCGGGCCUCUUGCCAUCGGAUGUGCCCAGAUGGGAUUAGCUAGUAGGUGGGGUAACGGCUCACCUAGGCGACGAUCCCUAGCUGGUCUGAGAGGAUGACCAGCCACACUGGAACUGAGACACGGUCCAGACUCCUACGGGAGGCAGCAGUGGGGAAUAUUGCACAAUGGGCGCAAGCCUGAUGCAGCCAUGCCGCGUGUAUGAAGAAGGCCUUCGGGUUGUAAAGUACUUUCAGCGGGGAGGAAGGGAGUAAAGUUAAUACCUUUGCUCAUUGACGUUACCCGCAGAAGAAGCACCGGCUAACUCCGUGCCAGCAGCCGCGGUAAUACGGAGGGUGCAAGCGUUAAUCGGAAUUACUGGGCGUAAAGCGCACGCAGGCGGUUUGUUAAGUCAGAUGUGAAAUCCCCGGGCUCAACCUGGGAACUGCAUCUGAUACUGGCAAGCUUGAGUCUCGUAGAGGGGGGUAGAAUUCCAGGUGUAGCGGUGAAAUGCGUAGAGAUCUGGAGGAAUACCGGUGGCGAAGGCGGCCCCCUGGACGAAGACUGACGCUCAGGUGCGAAACGCGUGGGGAGCAAACAGGAUUAGAUUCCCUGGUAGUCCACGCCGUAAACGAUGUCGACUUGGAGGUUGUGCCCUUGAGGCGUGCUUCCGGGAU
rnacentral:rRNA from 1 species